rnacentral:rRNA from 1 species
CAGCAGUAGGGAAUCUUCCGCAAUGGGCGAAAGCCUGACGGAGCGACGCCGCGUGAGCGAUGAAGGCCUUCGGGUUGUAAAGCUCUGUGGGGAGGGAAGAAUAAGGGUGAGUUAAUAGCUCAUCUGAUGAUGGUACCUCCUUAGCAAGCACCGGCUAACUCUGUGCCAGCAGCCGCGGUAAGACAGAGGGUGCAAACGUUGUUCGGAUUUACUGGGCGUAAAGCGCGUGUAGGCGGCUUUGCAAGUCGGAUGUGAAAGCCCACGGCUCAACCGUGGAAGUGCAUCCGAAACUGCAUGGCUUGAGUCUCGGAGAGGAAGGUGGAAUGCUUGGUGUAGAGGUGAAAUUCGUAGAUAUCAAGCAGAACACCUGCGGCGAAGGCGACUUUCUGGGCUGUAACUGACGCUGAGGCGCGAAAGCGUGGGGAGCAAACAGGAUUAGAUACCCUG